CAGUCGCCGCGGUAACACGUAGGGUGCGAGCGUUAAUCGGAAUUACUGGGCGUAAAGCGUGCGCAGGCGGUUAUAUAAGACAGAUGUGAAAUCCCCUGGGCUCAACCUGGGACCUGCAUUUGUGACUGUAUAGCUAGAGUACGGUAGAGGGGGAUGGAAUUCCGCGUGUAGCAGUGAAAUGCGUAGAUAUGCGGAGGAACACCGAUGGCGAAGGCAAUCCCCUGGACCUGUACUGACGCUCAUGCACGAAAGCGUGGGGAGCAAACAGGAUUAGAUACCCCUGUAGUCCCUGUCUCUUAUA
rnacentral:rRNA from 1 species